CCGUGGUAAAUGAAUAAUUACUCAAUGAUUAGUAAUUAUUAUCCCCGGCGGAGUCUGUGUUUCUCUACCCUCAUACCGGUAGUUGUAAACCCUAUUUCUUCCCUUUUUGCAGAGUAACUAUUUUUGCUCAUCCUUAAUUGGUGACAGUUAUCUUCAUCCAAUGUUCGGUGAUGAUAUCCCCUCAUCUGCUUGGAUAAUUGCCCUUAUUACGCAAUUUAUCCCCAGCGGGUCAUCUCUCGUCUACC
rnacentral:lncRNA from 1 species